ACACGUGAGAGCUGUGUCUUGAGCUGUCCUGAAAAUCUCCCUUUUAAGAAGGUGAUGGCUGAGCCAUCCUCUCCUGCUAUUCACUGUGGCCAACCAAUACCAUUCACUUCUGCAGACUUACCCUUACGCUGCGGAGUUGGGCAUCCAGUGUUCAAGAAAACAACUCAUAAAUGGAAAAUAGCACCAUUCUGACUGAAGAACAAGUCCUUGAUGUCAGACAUGCAUUCACUGCAGCCCUUACCAAAUAAAUGGAGAAAAUGGCUUACAGGCAACCAUCAGGUUACAGCUUUGGGGUGCUGUCAGCAUACAAGGUCACAGCUGUCAAAAACGCACCAGGAACACAGAUAUCAAACUGGUAGUCCCCUGUGCCUUGAAACAGCUCUUCAUCAGUGGAAAGGUCACAGAAGACAGUUAACCCAUCUUUCUCCAGCCUAGACAAGCACAUUCCCCCAGUGCAAGUCUCUGUGCUCAAAGUGCAGUUCCUGCUCUGCCACAGCCAGUGAAGCAGUCACCUGGUGCAGAAUGCUUUUUGCCGAAGCCACAGUACUCAGUUUCUUUCUCAUGUUCUCCAAAUCGCUGCCUCCAAAUUCAAACUCCAGAACCAUAAAGAGUUGCUCUUCC
rnacentral:lncRNA from 7 species